rnacentral:rRNA from 1 species
AUUAAACGCUGGCGGCAUGCCUUACACAUGCAAGUCGAACGGCAGCACGGGGUUUACCCUGGUGGCGAGUGGCGAACGGGUGAGUAAAGCAUCGGAACGUGCCCUGGAGUGGGGGAUAACGUAGCGAAAGUUACGCUAAUACCGCAUAUUCUGUGAGCAGGAAAGCAGGGGAUCGCAAGACCUUGCGCUCUGGGAGCGGCCGAUGUCGGAUUAGCUAGUUGGUGGGGUAAAGGCCUACCAAGGCGACGAUCCGUAGCGGGUCUGAGAGGAUGAUCCGCCACACUGGGACUGAGACACGGCCCAGACUCCUACGGGAGGCAGCAGUGGGGAAUUUUGGACAAUGGGCGCAAGCCUGAUCCAGCCAUGCCGCGUGAGUGAAGAAGGCCUCGGUUGUAAG